GUAACAAGGUCUCCGUUGGUGAACCAGCGGAGGGAUCAUUACCGAGUUAUACAACUCAUCAACCCUGUGAACAUACCUAAAACGUUGCUUCGGCGGGAACAGACGGCCCUGUAACAACGGGCCGCCCCCGCCAGAGGACCCCUAACUCUGUUUUUAUAAUGUUUUUCUGAGUAAACAAGCAAAUAAAUUAAAACUUUCAACAACGGAUCUCUUGGCUCUGGCAUCGAUGAAGAACGCAGCGAAAUGCGAUAAGUAAUGUGAAUUGCAGAAUUCAGUGAAUCAUCGAAUCUUUGAACGCACAUUGCGCCCGCCAGUAUUCUGGCGGGCAUGCCUGUUCGAGCGUCAUUACAACCCUCAGGCCCCCGGGCCUGGCGUUGGGGAUCGGCGGAAGCCCCCUGUGGGCACACGCCGUCCCUCAAAUACAGUGGCGGUCCCGCCGCAGCUUCCAUUGCGUAGUAGCUAACACCUCGCAACUGGAGAGCGGCGCGGCCAUGCCGUAAAACACCCAACUUCUGAAUGUUGACCUCGAAUCAGGUAGGAAUACCCGCUGAACUUAAGCAUAUCAA
rnacentral:rRNA from 1 species